GCAAGAGGUCCAACCUGGAGGACAGAGUGAUGGAGUUGGAGGAACGGCUCAGUGAGACACACAGAGAGUGUGUGAUCAACACCAAGCAGUGUUUUAGGAGUGUGAGCAGGAGUGAGAGACUCACAGUGUCCUGAAGUACCAGUACAAUCAUCUGAGGGAAACUGUAACCUACAGAAAGGAGUCACUAUAAAGUGUUUAAAUGUGUGUGUAGACGCCAAUAAAUCCAACAAGCUUUUUCUUGUAAAACUUCCAGGUCUUCUGGAUGAAGCUGAGAAGAAACACGAGCAGGUGCUGGAGUCCAGUGUUCAGCUACAGAAAGAGAUCUACAAACUGGUAUCAGACAUGGACUUACUGUAGCCUCAGCUGAGCUGAAAGAGGAAGAGCUUCUUCAGACUAACAGGAAGUGCAGCAGGUUAAUGGCAGAGUGGAAACAGUACCAGGAUGUUUACUGUACCAUGAAGGUGAAGUACGACGGAAUGAAAGAAUCCGUGAAACAUUUGUAGAUUUUCAUCACAGACUUGUACAGAGCAUGUAGCGCCAUCACUUGGCCUGAAAAGCAGCCUAGUGGUCACGUGGUCGGUUAUGGCGCUCAAUAAGUUCCUGAUGUGGUUUCUGUUUGUAUUUUUUUCCUCCGCAGCGAAUUAAUGAAUUUAUUUGUGAAUUUGUUUGCAUUAUUUCAGUGUAAACAAGAAGAAAAGAAAAUGCCUUUUUUCUGUAAAGUUUAAAUAACAUUGGAUUUUUUUCUUUCUUAAAUUUCAGCAGUUUUUAUUUCUUCUCAUUUCAUAAAUUUUUUCUUUGCAUGUGAAUGUGAAUGAAAAUAAAUCUCUUGUUACUGUGUGAUGUAAUAUUUUUGCUGGAAAUUGCAAUAAUAAAGUACUUAAAAUGUA